UAGUUGGGGGGGUAAAGGCCCACCAAGGCGACGAUCCGUAGCUGGUCUGAGAGGAUGAUCAGCCACACCGGAACUGAGACACGGUCCGGACUCCUACGGGAGGCAGCAGUGGGGAAUAUUGGACAAUGGGGGCAACCCUGAUCCAGCCAUGCCGCGUGUGUGAAGAAGGCCUUCGGGUUGUAAAGCACUUUAGGUCGGGAGGAAGGUUCGCUGGCUAAUAUCCAGCGGAAUUGACGUUACCGACAGAAUAAGCACCGGCUAACUCCGUGCCAGCAGCCGCGGUAAUACGGAGGGUGCAAGCGUUAAUCGGAAUUACUGGGCGUAAAGCGCGCGUAGGCGGCUUGGUAAGUCGGAUGUGAAAGCCCUGGGCUCAACCUGGGAACUGCAUUCGAUACUGUCAGGCUAGAGUGUGGGAGAGGGUGGUGGAAUUCCCGGUGUAGCGGUGAAAUGCGUAGAUAUCGGGAGGAACAUCAGUGGCGAAGGCGACCGCCCGGCCCAACACUGACGCUGAGGUGCGAAAGCGUGGGUAGCAAACAGGAUUAGAUACCCUGGUAGUCCACGCCGUAAACGAUGUCGACUAGCCGUUGGAGACCUUAGAGUUUUUAGUGGCGCAGCUAACGCGAUAAGUCGACCGCCUGGGGAGUACGGCCGCAAGGUUAAAACUCAAAUGAAUUGACGGGGGCCCGCACAAGCGGUGGAGCAUGUGGUUUAAUUCGAUGCAACGCGAAGAACCUUACCACCCCUUGACAUCCUGCGAACUUGGUAGAGAUACCUUGGUGCCUUCGGGAGCGCAGAGACAGGUGCUGCAUGGCUGUCGUCAGCUCGUGUUGUGAAAUGUUGGGUUAAGUCCCGUAACGAGCGCAACCCUUGUCCUUAGUUGCCAGCGAGUAAUGUCGGGAACUCUAAGGAGACUGCCGG
rnacentral:rRNA from 1 species